UUUGCUACAACUGUUUUAAGAAAAUAGGUGUAUGGAAUAGAUUGAGAUGAGAAAAAGGCUUUGAACAGAUGUACCUAUCGGACAACAUGACUGUGCUUCAUCAUUGUUCAAUCAUGGACUAAGAUAAAGAUGGAAGAAUUUGACGAUGUCAUAACUUCUACAGUUGACGCUUGUACAGUUGACGCUUCUAUUUGUCAUUUGGUCAGUUGUCAUGGAAACCGUAAGCGGGGAGAGCUGUUUCAAACCUUUUAGAUAUCAUUGCAGGAAUUGCACACCCGGAACACCUUGCUGUGGGAUUAAACCAUGUAACAUAUUGUGUUGUGGAUGUAAAUGUUGUACAGAGCCAAGAGGAAAACAUUGUUAUGGACGUGGAAAUGGAUGCAAGUGUUAUAACGCCAAACGAAAACGACGUCAUGUGUCAAAUGAUACUACGGAUAUUUCUGCCUAUCUUACAUAUAUUGGACUAGAUAUCAACAAAAAUGGCAUGAUGGAACAGUUUGAGAUCAAUAAAGCCUUGAAACAUAUGCAUAUAACGGAAAACAUGACCUUGCUUCACCAUUUGUCAAUAAUGGACGAAGAUAAAGAUGGAAUUAUUUCUCUGGAAGAAUUUGUUAGAAAAAAGUAAUAUUUGACCAAGAACAUAAUUCGUUUUAUAUCUAAAAGUGAAGAUUGAAAA